GGGUUAUGCCUUGGAGUCUUUCCUCUGCAGUUCAAGAAUGACUGGUGUGUUUGAGAAGGCCAAGGCCGACUUUCCUGGAAUGUUCACUAGGAAGCAGCACCCAAGGUUGCGCACAGCGCUCAGUGGAGGCCAGCGAGGGAGGCAGCGCUCAGCACCAGUUCCUUCCCUAUGCUGCUCACCAGCCCCCCCAAAACACGCACACUGCCAGCAGUUCUGAUUUGCCCCAUCUUCUUCACGGCUCGGCUUCUCCUUUCCGUAGAGACACGGAGCCAAAAAGAAAGAAAGAAAGAAAUCAUCCUGUCAACAUGCUUCUGGUGGCUGAGGCCUCUGGCCGCCGGCCUGGGGUGAAGCUGACACAGGAGGCAUGGGAGGAGGGUGGGCCCUGAUGACCCUGAACCACUGAGACCCGCUGGAAGCCUGCCCCCCUCGGAGGCCCCGGCCGAGCCCCUCUGACUCCGUAUCUGUUCUGCCGCUCGGCUUACAAGCCAGCACCACAGCCCAAGCCCGGAGGUGGGCAAGGGCUCGGACCCCAGGGGCGCUGGCCUCUGC
rnacentral:lncRNA from 1 species